CUUUCCCUCUUUCUUCAGGCCUAACACAUGCAAGUCGAACGGUAACAGGAAGAAGCUUGCUUCUUUGCUGACGAGUGGCGGCCGCGUGAGUAAUGUCUGGGAAACUGCAUGAUUGAGGGGGAUAACUACUGGAAACGGUAGCUACUACCGCAUAACGUCGCAAGACCUAAGAGGGGGACCUUCUGGCCUCUUGCCAUCGGCAGUGCCCAGAUGGGAUUAGCUAGUAGGGGGGGUAACGGCUCACCUAGGCGACGAUCCCUAGCUGGUCUGAGAGGAUGACCAGCCACACUGGAACUGAGACACGGUCCAGACUCCUACGGGAGGCAGCAGUGGGGAAUAUUGGACAAUGGGCGCAAGCCUGAUGCAGCCAUGCCGCGUGUGUGAAGAAGGCCUUCGGGUUGUAAAGUACUUUCAGCGGGGAGGAAGGGAGUAAAGUUAAUACCUCUCCUCACUGACGUUACCCGAAGAAGAAGCACCGGCUAACUCCGUG
rnacentral:rRNA from 1 species